GGAGGGUCUCUGCCCGCACCCGGGGGAGGCCCGAUCGACCCCCAACCCCCCUGUUGACCGUACCACGUUGCUUCCGGCGGGGAUGCCCGCCGGGAGAGUCUCCGUUUUAACCGCUGUUCUCCCUGAGUGCUGUCUGAGUCGGGUUCAUAGUGAAUCGGCAUGAACGAAACAAAACUUUCAACAAUGGAUCUCUUGGUUCCGGCAUCGAUGAAGAACGCAGCGAAAUGUGAUAAGUAAUGUGAAUUGCAGAAUUCCGUGAAUCAUCGAAUCUUUGAACGCAUAUUGCGCUCUUUGGCAGUCCAGAGAGCAUGCCUGUCCGAGCGUCAGUGUCCGUAUCUCCAGGCUUCCCCGGGAGGGGAGGGGCCGGGGUGUUGGGUUGUGCCGUCCUCGGGUUGUGGAGGAUGGGCCUCAAACAGAGUGGCAGUACCGUGUCCGGUCCUGGAGCAUGAUGGGGCGUUCGUCACCGGCUCUGGAGGACCGGAUCCGGUUGCUGGCCGGGCCGUUUCCAUUCAUCGAGUUGACCUCGGAUCAGGCAGGGGUACCCGCUGAACUUAAGCAUAUCA
rnacentral:rRNA from 1 species